rnacentral:rRNA from 1 species
GAUGAACGCUGGCGGCGUGCCUAAUACAUGCAAGUCGAGCGAACAGACGAGGAGCUUGCUCCUCUGACGUUAGCGGCGGACGGGUGAGUAACACGUGGAUAACCUACCUAUAAGACUGGGAUAACUUCGGGAAACCGGAGCUAAUACCGGAUAAUAUAUUGAACCGCAUGGUUCAAUAGUGAAAGACGGUUUUGCUGUCACUUAUAGAUGGAUCCGCGCCGCAUUAGCUAGUUGGUAAGGUAACGGCGUACCAAGGCAACGAUGCGUAGCCGACCUGAGAGGGUGAUCGGCCACACUGUAACUGAGACACGGUCCAGACUCCUACGGGAGGCAGCAGUAGGGAAUCUUCCGCAAUGGGCGAAAGCCUGACGGAGCAACGCCGCGUGAGUGAUGAAGGUCUUCGGAUCGUAAAACUCUGUUAUUAGGGAAGAACAAAUGUGUAAGUAACUAUGCACGUCUUGACGGUACCUAAUCAGAAAGCCACGGCUAACUACGUG